rnacentral:lncRNA from 1 species
AUACGCUGCAACCACAACCGUCUAUAGCCCAGAUGAUUCAUAUGAGUCACUUCAUCGUAGCCCCCCACCAAUAACCACUCAAACCUCCCACACCAAAACGCACAACCAUUGUUUAACUAUAGUACGCCCCAGGAACCAUUGCUUCGUUUCCAAAACGAUUUAAUGUCCCAAUUUGGACAACUAUAUCAUCCCUAAUCCACCC